rnacentral:rRNA from 1 species
AUUGAACGCUGGCGGCAGGCCUAACACAUGCAAGUCGAGCGGAUGAGGAGAGCUUGCUCUUCGAUUCAGCGGCGGACGGGUGAGUAAUGCCUAGGAAUCUGCCUGGUAGUGGGGGACAACGUUUCGAAAGGAACGCUAAUACCGCAUACGUCCUACGGGAGAAAGCAGGGGACCUUCGGGCCUUGCGCUAUCAGAUGAGCCUAGGUCGGAUUAGCUAGUUGGUGAGGUAAUGGCUCACCAAGGCGACGAUCCGUAACUGGUCUGAGAGGAUGAUCAGUCACACUGGAACUGAGACACGGUCCAGACUCCUACGGGAGGCAGCAGUGGGGAAUAUUGGACAAUGGGCGAAUGCCUGAUCCAGCCAUGCCGCGUGUGUGAAGAAGGUCUUCGGAUUGUAAAGCACUUUAAGUUGGGAGGAAGGGCAGUAAGUUAAUACCUUGCUGUUUUGGCGUUACCGACAGAAUAAGCACCGGCUAACUCUGUGCCAGCAGCCGCGGUAACAC